GCGCGCCCUUCUCGUCGCGCAGGGACGCGCGCAGCGUGACCGGCUGCUCGGGGGCCAGGCCGCGCACGGCGAUGCGCACCGGCUCGUCCCAGCAGCAGGGGCCCGCGGGCUCCACGCUCACCGACGCCGCCAUUCUAAUUUGGAGAAAAGCUCAACACGGUUUCGGGAAGAAUUUUGUGCCUGAAGGCUCAAGGGAAGAGGGCUGUCUGGAGGAGCCGUGGCUUUUCUAGGGGACAUGGGCAAGCCAUGGUGAUGCAGCAGCAGGAGGAGAAAACACAUCUGGAGCUCACUCUCUUCUUCCAUUCAGUAUCUUGCAGUCGAUUUGGCUGAACCCAACAAUACGAUUCAGCCUCCCGGGCCCCCAGCAGGGUGAAGAGAGAAGUGUGUGUAUGAUGUUUGGCAAAUAGAAACUAAGUAAAUAUUUAGAACCUGAGAAAACGAUGAUCAGAUUAAGCCCCAAAUCUGAUUCAUUGAGCUCGCCAUUCCACCUAAGGAAGUAACUGCCCUCUGUAUUUUCAUCAGCUGCCCUUUAAAUUGUCCCAGGAUAAUCCCCCAACUAGGGCACUGUUACACAGGAUCUACCUGGGCUGCUGUCUCCUUCCUUCCCCUACCCUGAUGCCCACCUCACUGUGAAAAGAAGUAGAAAUGACUGUUAGGCACAUGAGGGGAAAGCAGCCGAGCAGCUGGCCAUUCCAAAGCACCUUCUCUGUGGAGUUCUGAGCCUAGGAACUUCAAAGAAGAGGUAGGCAGUGAGCAGGCCAGCUGUCAGGGGAUGCCCAGGGUCUGCAAAGGAGCUGCUGUAAGGAGUACUUUGCAGGGCAGGUGUUUGGGGCUCUGUCCGGUAUCAGAUUACCUGGGUGCAAGUCCUUGCUGCACUCCAGCUUCCAGCUUCGUGUGAAAGCUGACCCUGGGAGGCAGCAGGCACUGGCUGAAGUUGUUGGGUCCCUGUGCCCAUGUGGGAGAGCUGGUUUGAGCCCUCUCCCCCUUGCUACCAUUUUGGGAGUGAACCAGCAGAUCUCUGUAUCUCUCUCUCUCUCUCCCCUUGCCUCUGGAACUAAAAAAAAAAAGAAAAGAAAAAGCAACAAAUAAUGUUCAUGAGAAGAUUGGCCCCACACAGAAAUUCCAGUGCUUGUGUAGCAACUAGAUGAAGUGGCUGAGUUCAGUAUCCACAUAUAUGUCAUGCUGUUUCCAGAAUGAAACAAAAAAAUGAAUUUCUGUGCCAUAUAUUAGGGGGGAAGACUUCAUGGAUGGACGUGAUUCUUUGCUUGAUCUAGAGCAGAAUUUCUCUUACGAGUCCUUGAACUUUUCCACUAAUUGUUCAUUGCCUUUCAGUUACAAACCCCACAUGGAAAAGCUGGGCUUUAGAAAAAAUUACUGAGUCACCCGUAAUCAGUACACCCCAAGAUAAUGAGUAAUUUCACUGUCUGAACUGAGUUUAGAUCACUCACUUAAGGUGCCCACUUUAACAGAUGUGACGAAUCGCAGAUAAUUUAGCAUCUGAGGCAAGACCAUGGGUGCAUCACUGGCUAUUUUCUGUGGUCCCGUCCUGUCCCCUUGCCUCACAAGGAAAGUAACCUUGAAAUGACCAAGUGCCUUUUUCUUUGUUUCUGGUUUUUUUUUUUGUUUUCUUUGGGUUUUGGUUUUUGCUUACGAACUUUGUAAAAAACACAGACUCUGUGCAGCCAUCUCAUUAACCCUCCAGAGCAGAACCAGAACCAUCAUUUGUAUUUCCAUGAUGCUCCACAACACCUCAUCUCUACAAAGCGUUCUGUCUCUACAAGUUAUUUGACUGCCUGUGUUUGGGUCAGGUGGUGAGGGACAGCGAAUCCCAACUGAGCAAUGUGGUGUCCUUUCAUGUGCUGCUGUGGUACAGAAGCAGGAAAUGCUAAGGCAAUGGGACCUGGUUUAAGGCAAUAACUGUAGAUACAGACAGAGUAUGUGUGUAUGGUCUGCUCCACUGGUUUCUGGUUUGUUUUUCAGACCUUCUCUGUCUGUAAAACUCAACUUACUCUGCUCAGCCAGUCAGAACAUGUGUGCUAUUUUAUGGAAUGACAUGUUGCCUGACUCUAGGAAAUAAAAAAUAAAGCAAAGGUGGGAGUGGCCAACGGAUAAUACAGCCACUGGGAUACCUGCAUCCCAAAUCCGAGUGCCUGAGAUGGAGUCCCAACUCCUGCCUCCAGCUUCCUGCCUAUGUGCUCUUUAGAGGCAGUAGGCGACGGCUCCAGUAGUUGGGUUCCUGCUAUGGAUGUGGGAGACCCAGACUACUUCUGCCCUGGCCUGAGACUACUGCAGGGAUUCGGGGAACGAACCACCAGAUAGGAGAUGUGUGUGUGUGUGUAAAAUAAAAAAUGUAUUUACAAAUUUAAGUCAGUUAAGAUCUUGAAACUAAAUUGUUGUAAUUUUUGUCCUUCAGCAAAGAAUACCCAUCAGGGAUGACUGAGAAGUCUUCCUCUAGACAGUGUCAGUUAUCACAAGUUCAUUUUAUUUUCAUUAAUUCUCAGUUAACAUCGGAGAUUCUUUUGCUUUUCUGAGAAAGCAGCUGAGAAUGAAAGGGAGCAGUGGUGUGGAGGGACAGACUCCCAGGUGUUCCGGGAUAGCUGUGAUGGGUUCAAGCCUGUGGCUCUGCUUCUAGUUUCUGUUUACUGUUCAGGUGGGACAAGAGUGUUCCAAUGUUUUCACUCUCAGUAGCCAUUUAAGUAAGUACUUUCCUCAAGAGAGCAGUAUCUUAAUAGUGCCCUCAUGGUUAACAGUACUGAGUCAGUAUCAACUUCCUGACUUUAAUAUGUGUACUGUGGUAUGUAAGAUGUUAACUGUCGCUCCCCCUCUUCGUGGAGGAACGACACAGGACCCUGCGCUGUUCUUUCGUCUGCUCGGCCCUCCCCGGGUUUGCUGCUGGUUCUUCCCGGGUUGGCUACUAUCCCUUCCACCUCCGUGGAAGGGCAGUUCCCCCUGGCCGCAUUCCCCACUUCCGCAGGGGAGCGGCACACCGCCGGCCGGCUUUCUCGGGGGCUGCACGGGUUCCCUUAGAUGUUCCCCAUAGAUGUUCCUGGUGCAUGCCGUCUCUCUCCUCCUUUAUAGUCCUCCUCCGCCAAUCCUAACUCGGCUGCCCACACGCCGAGUACGCUGCUCUCCUCCAAUCAGGAGCAAGUCCUACAGUUUAUUAGUUGAACUGGAGGCAGCUGUGCGGAAGCUGUUUACUUCUCUCCCAGCGCCAUAUUGUGGGAGAGCAGAUACAUAGAAUAAGUCUUAAUUCCAGUAACUUAGUCCAGUCCGGAUGCUCCCCACAGAUCCCCCUUUCUUUUUAUUUUUGGCGUUGAUACGCGCCUGUCUUCGGUGUCCCGCGGCACACACUCUGCUCUACUUGCUAGAGUUGCCACAGGCUCUUACAAGUCCUAUCAAUCAGGAAAACCGAAUCCGGGUCCUCUCUUCGCCAUUGUGAGGAGGUUUUUAGGCGCUGAUGCGUGCCUGUGUUCGGUGCCCUGCAGCGCAUGCUCUGCUCUGCCCGCAGGGGCUUACAAAACCUAUCAGGCAAACCGAAUCCAAGCCUUCUCAUUGCCGUAUUGUGGGGGAGACUUAUUAGUGUUGGUUUGUGCCUAUCUUCGGUGACCUGCAGCUCAUGCUUUGGUCGAGCUGCUUGCUGGCGCUUACCGCCUUAAAUCAGGCAGACCGAAUCCAAGCCUCCUAAUUGUUAUAUCGUGGGGAAGCCUUACUGAUGUUAAUUCGUGCCUGUCUUUGGUGACCUGCGGCGCAUAAGCUGCUAGCCGCCCAGGUGCUCAUCGCCUCACUUAAUCAGGCAGACCGAAUCCAAGCUUUCUCAUUGGCAUGUUGAGGGGAGGCCUUUCUAUUUCUCUAUUUCUCUAUCUCCGGGCAUUCCUAUUUCUCCCAUUUUACUUCUAUCUUCCAACAUUCCUAUUUCUCUCAUCUUACUUCUAAACUUCUGUUUCUCUUAUCCCUGCGGCUUCCCGGCUGCGCUCGCCCCGAGGCUGCUUCUCGGCACCUCGCCCCGCGGCAGCUUCACGGCUCUGCGCGGCUUCCCGGCGCCUCGCCCCGCCGGCGGGUUCCCGGCUCUGCGCGCACGCUCCGUGGUCUCCACGCACUUCGCGCCCGCACCACGGCCUCGCGCCAGCCCCGCGUUCUCUCUGCACGCGGCGGCUUCCGCGAAUGUUUCCGCCACCACCGGCAUUCAGUCCAAGUUCCCCGGACUAACCUGGCGAAUCCUGGCGGCCCACGUCUCUGCCUCUGGUUCCAGAUCUUCGCCUCUUGCUCCCCGGGGUGACUUGAAGAAUUCCAAGAUGGCUUGGCCUGCACUCGCGGCUUCAUCCUCCCUAACAUUUCUCUCUACCCGGUAUGUUUCCUUAAGUUUUCUUCCAACAAUAUUCCUCUCAUUUCUCCUGGCUACUCCCCACAGUCCAUAUCUGAGUCCAAGCCUCCUCCAGGUUUCACUUUCGCUUUCAAUCUCCUAGCUUCCCCGCCAUAGUCCGCAUCCGAGUCUAUGAAAGCUUUCACUUUCGCUUUCAAUCCUAACUUUUUUCCCACAGUCCAUAUCCGAGUUUAUGCCUAGGCUUUCAAUAGCUUCUUCCGGCACCUAGGCUCUUUGCUAGUCUCUUUCUCCGGUAUUUUCCUACUUCUUCCCGUUUCUUCCCUCCUAAGUUUGCUAUCCGUCCUAGGUUUCCUAUCCGAGUCAUUUCUUCCAAGUUUCAUAUCCGUCCUAGGUUUCCUAUCCGAGUCAGGUUUCCUAUCCGAGCUAGGUUUCCUAUCCGAGUCACGGCACCAUUAUGUCGCUCCCCCUCUUCGUGGAGGAGCAACACUAAGCCCUGCCUAGGCUUCAUAUCCGAGUCACGGCACCAUUAUGUCGCUCCCCCUCUUCGUGGAGGAACGACACAGGACCCUGCGCUGUUCUUUCGUCUGCUCGGCCCUCCCCGGGUUUGCUGCUGGUUCUUCCCGGGUUGGCUACUAUCCCUUCCACCUCCGUGGAAGGGCAGUUCCCCCUGGCCGCAUUCCCCACUUCCGCAGGGGAGCGGCACACCGCCGGCCGGCUUUCUCGGGGGCUGCACGGGUUCCCUUAGAUGUUCCCCAUAGAUGUUCCUGGUGCAUGCCGUCUCUCUCCUCCUUUAUAGUCCUCCUCUGCCAAUCCUAACUCGGCUGCCCACACGCCGAGUACGCUGCUCUCCUCCAAUCAGGAGCAAGUCCUACAGUUUAUUAGUUGAACUGGAGGCAGCUGUGCGGAAGCUGUUUACUUCUCUCCCAGCGCCAUAUUGUGGGAGAGCAGAUACAUAGAAUAAGUCUUAAUUCCAGUAACUUAGUCCAGUCCGGAUGCUCCCCACAGUUAACGUAAUGGGAAACAGAGUGAAAGUAGAGGGAACUCUACAAUUUUUGUAAUAUUUGUGUAAAUGUAAAAUUAUUUUAAUAUUUAAACGUUUUUACAAACCACAACAAUCUCUUAGAAUGAUGAAAUCACCAUAGAGGAUCUUUGGUCCUCUCUGUCCAACUUGUAGGUUUACUAAAACCUAUUCCUCUCAAUCCUUUCUCCUCUGUUGCCUCAAAUAUUCAGUCUUUACCGGGUGACUGAAAGCAGCAUUAUCUAUGCCCGUGUGUCUGAAAUUCCUUUAAAUUCUUAAUUAUUUUUCUUGUCCCAGGUAUCUGGACGCAGGCAUGAGGUUUCUCCAGAAGAAUCUGAUAUUAUAUCUGGUCUCAAGAGAAAGGACACUGGGGUCAUGUCUCUGGAGGGGCCUCAUCCUGUCUUUAAGGGAAGAUUCCCCACAUUCAGGGAGAUUAAAGAGAAGGCAUGGUGGGGCCGGCGCCCUGGCUCACUUGGUUAAUCUUCUGCCUGUGGCGCCAGCAUCCCAUAUGGGCACUGGGUUCUAGUCCCGGUUGCUCCUCUUCCAGUCCAGCUCUCUGCUGUGGCCCGGGAAGGCAGUGGAGGAUGGCUCAGGUGCUUGGGCCCCUGCACCCACAUGGGAGACCAGGAGGAAGCACCUGGCUCCUGGCUUUGGAUCGGCGUAGCUCUGGCCGUGGCAGCCAUUUGGGGGGUGAAUCAAUGGAAGAAAGACCUUUCUGUCUCUGUCUCUCACUGUCUAACUCUGUCAAAUAAAAAAAAAGGGGGGGGGGAGGCAUGCUUUUGAAAACAGCUUUGUCAGUAUGCUGGUGUGCCUUCUCUUGGUUCAGUUCCCAGAACUUUGAACUGUGUAACUUACCCAGUUGUGUGGUUGCCAAGACUUUUUCCCUAGUUCCAGGUGAUACUGGGAAGUUUGAGAGAUUAAAUCAGGUGCUGCCUCAGUUACUUUUGUAAAUUUAUUAGGUCAACAAUAAGCAUGGCCAGAUGGCUGGGCCAAGUAACUCUUGCAUCCAAAACAGGUUAAGGCACUGGGGUUCACAGGUAUGUUAUUUUCCAACUCUCUGACUAGUCACUGCUAGCUUCAUCCAUUCCUGGCAACAGUUCUGCCUCUACUUUGGAAAAGUAGGAUGUCAGUCUUUGGGAAAAUAGGCAUGCCAGUUUCUUUGUAUUUUGAAAAAUAGAUCAUUUGCUGAAUUGUUAUCCAGAGUCCUAUAAUUGGGGUCCUGGAAAUCUGCAUAAGUUCAUCAGACACAGACACAGGUCUUCUAACUCUUGUAAUGUCGUAUUCAAGGACAGCCCUCACUGCUAGUCCCUCUCUUUGCUAUUUCGACCUGGUCAGUCAUUAUCCUAUAAUCUUGAGUCUAUUGUUUACCUCAAGUGUAUUGUUAAGCUCAGUUUUAUCAUUUGUAGGCAAUAGCUAUCAUUGCAAAGUGCUGGGCCUGCAUUAUUUGCUUAGGAGUUGACUUUUGACAGGCAACUGGUAUAACGUUUAAAAAGGACAAUAAAGGGGCCAGCGUUGUGGCAUAGUAGGCUAAGUCUCCACCUGUGGCGCCAGCAUCCCAUAUGGGUGCUGGUUCGAGUCCUGCCUAUUCCUCUUCUGACCUAGCUCUCUGCUGUGGCCUGGGAAAGCAGUAGAAGGUGGCCCAAGUGCUUGGGCCCCUGCAUCUGGAGACCCAGAAGAAGCUCCUGGCUCCUGGCUUUGGAUUGGCCCAGCUCCAGCCAUUUUGGUCAUUUGGGGAGUGAACCAGUAGAUGGGAGACCUUUCUCUCUAUCUCUCCUUCUCUCUCUGUAACUCUACCUCAAAUAAUAAAUAAAUGAUUUCCUUUUGAAAAAGGAAAAUACAGAACAAAAUCAGUAGGAGCAUAACAAGUCUAGUUUAUUUAACAGUUUUUAACAAAGAACCUAAAGGUGACCCAUUGAUUGAAUCAAAUGACUGAGGCGAUCUAGGUGAACUCUAUCGUAACCACUAAUGCUAUUCCCUUAUGUUGUGCAGUUGGGUAUCAAUUUCUCAUAUACAACACAUAGAAUUAACAGUAGCACAUUUUCUUAUUUAUUUGUUUAUUUUUCUAUCCCAAAGAAACCUUUUAUUUAAGGAAUACAAAUUUCAUAAGUACAACUUUAGGAAUAUAGUUAUUCUUCACACCAUACCCGCCCUCCCAUACCUCCUCCUCCUCCCUCUCCCAUUCCCAGUCCCAUUCUCCAUUAAGAUUCAUUUUUAGUUAACUUUAUACACAGAAAACCAACUCUAUACUAAGUAAAUAUUUCAACAGUUUGCACACAAACACACACACACACACACACACAGAACAAGUUUUGCAGUUAAGUCUCAUAAACCGACUCAUUGAGGACAGAGGUCCUGCAUGGGAAGUUAGUGCACAGUGACUCCUGUUGUUAAUUUAAGAAUUAACACUCUGAUGUAUGAUGUCAGUGACCACCCAAGGCCCUAUGGAAGCCUUUUAAGUCUACAAACUGUCAUUAUUUAGGCAGGGCCAUAUAGAAAGUGAAAGUUCUCUUCUCCUUUCAGAGAAAAGUACAUCCUUCUUGAUGGCCCCUUCUUUCCACUGGGGUCUCAUUCACAGAGAGCCUUCAUGUAGAUCAUUUUUUGCCACAGUGUCUUGGCUUUCCAUGCCUGAAAUGCUCUCAUGAACCUUUCAGCCAUAUCUGAAUGCGUUAAGGACUGAUUCUGAGAUCAGAGUGCUGUUUAGGGCAUUUGUCAUUCUAUGAGUCUACUGUGUGGCCUGCUUCCCAUGUUGGAUCAUCCUCUCCUUUUUAUUCUAUCUAUUGUUAUUACCAAAUACUUGGUCUUAUUUAUCUGAUCUCUUUGACACGUAAUCCUAUCUAUAUGAUCAGUUACACAUUUAAUAUGAUCAAUUUACCAUGUAAGAUGGCAUUAGUACUGCCAAUUCAAUGGGAUUUGGAGUCCCAUGGCAAAUUUUUAGCUUUACCCUUAGGGUUAAUGUCGCUCCCCCUCUUUGCGGAGGAACGACACAGGACCCUGCGCUGUUCUUUUGUCUGCUCGGCCCUCCCCGGGUUUGCUGCUGGUUCUUCCCGGGUUGGCUACCGACCCUUCCACCUCCGUGGAAGGGCGGUUCCCCCUAGCCACUUUCCCCACUUCCGCGGGGGAGCGGCACACCGCCGGCCGGCUCUCUCAGGGGCUGCACAGGUGUUCCUUCAGAUAGAUGUUCCCCUUAGAUGUUCCUGGUGCAUGUUGUCUCUCUUCUCCUUUAUAGUCCUCUUCCACCAAUCCCAACUCUGCUACCCACAUGCCGAGUACGCUGCUCUCCUCCGAUCAGGAGCAGCUCCUACUGUUUAUUGGUUGAACUGGAGGCAGCUGUGUAGAAGCUGUUUCCUCCUCUCCCAGCGCCAUAUUGUGGGAGAGCAGAUGCAUAGAAUAAGUCUUAAUUCCAGUAACUUAGUCUAGUCUGAGUUGCUCCCAGUUGCUCCCCACAGGUUAAGUCCAUGGGAGUAUGUGCUGAACUGUACAUCUCCUCCCUCUCUUAUUCCCACUCUUACCAUUUACUUGGAUCUAUUUUCUUUUUUUUUAAGAUUUAUUUAUUUACUUGAAAAUCAGAGUUGCACACAGAGAGAAGGAGAGGCAGAGAGAGAGUAUUCCAUCUGAUGAUUCACUCCCCAGUUGGCUGCAAUGGCUGGAGCUGUGCCGAUCUGAACCCAGGAGCCAGGAGCUUCCUCUGGGUCUCCCACAUGGGUGUAGGGGCCCAAGCACUUGGGCCAUUUCUACUGCUUUCUCAGGCCAUAGCAGAGAGCUGGAUAGGAAGUGGAGCAGCUGCCAGCGCCGCGGCUCACUAGGCUAAUCCUCCGCCUUGUGGCACCGGCGCACCGGGUUCUAGUCCUGGUCGGGGUGCUGGAUUCUGUCCCGGUUGCCCCUCUUCCAGGCCAGCUCUCUGCUGUGGCCAGGGAGUGCAGUGGAGGAUGGCCCAAGUGCUUGGGCCCUGCACCCCAUGGGAGACCAGGAGAAGCACCUGGCUCCUGCCUUCGGAUCAGCACGGUGCGCCGGCCACAGCGCACUGGCCGUGGUGGCCAUUGGAGGGUGAACCAAUGGCAAAAGGAAGACCUUUCUCUCUGUCUCUCUCUCUCUCACUGUCCACUCUGCCUUUAGAAAAAAAAAAAAAAGGAAGUGGAGAAGCUUGGACUCGAAUUGGUACCCAUAUGCGAUGCCUGCACUACGGGCGAUAGCUUUACCCACUACACCACAGCACCAGCCCCUGGAAUCUAUUUUCAAUUGAAUUUAAACACCUAUGAAUAAUUCUGUGUUUAGUAAGGAGUUCAACCAAUCAUAUUACGUAGAAAAAGAAAAUAGUAAAGAAAAAAAAAGAUAAUACACUGUUCCUCGACAGUAAAGACAAGCGCUACUCAAGUCAUUGCUUCUCAUAGUGUCAAUUUCACUUCUACAGGCUUCCUUUUAAGGUGCUCUGUUAGUUUUCAGAGAUCAGGGAGAACAUAUGAUAUUUGUCCCUUUGGGACUGGCUUAUUUCACUAAGUAUGAUGUUUUCCAGAUUCAUCCAUUUUGUUGCAAAUGUCUGGAUUUCACUUUUUUUUUUACUGCUGUGUAGUAUUCCAUAGGGUACAUAUCCCAUAAUUUUUUUAUCCAGUCUUCUGUUGAUGGGCAUUUAGGUUGAUUCCAUGUCUUGGCUGUUGUGAGUUGAGCUACAGUAAACAUGUAGGUGCAGAUAGCUCUUUUAUUUUCAUAUUCAUUUCCAUUGUGUACAUUUCGAGGAGUAGAUGGCUGGAUUGUAUGGUACGUCUAUAUUCAGAUUUCUGAGGUAUCUCCGUACUGUCUUCCUUAGUGUCUUUACCAGUUUGCAUUCCCACCAACAGUGAAUUAGGCUACCUUUUUUUUAAUUUUUAUUUUUUAAUUAAA